rnacentral:rRNA from 1 species
CCGUAAACGAUGUCGACUUGGAGGUUGUGCCCUUGAGGCGUGGCUUCCGGAGCUAACGCGUUAAGUCGACCGCCUGGGGAGUACGGCCGCAAGGUUAAAACUCAAAUGAAUUGACGGGGGCCCGCACAAGCGGUGGAGCAUGUGGUUUAAUUCGAUGCAACGCGAAGAACCUUACCUGGUCUUGACAUCCACGGAAGUUUUCAGAGAUGAGAAUGUGCCUUCGGGAACCGUGAGACAGGUGCUGCAUGGCUGUCGUCAGCUCGUGUUGUGAAAUGUUGGGUUAAGUCCCGCAACGAGCGCAACCCUUAUCCUUUGUUGCCAGCGGUCCGGCCGGGAACUCAAAGGAGACUGCCAGUGAUAAACUGGAGGAAGGUGGGGAUGACGUCAAGUCAUCAUGGCCCUUACGACCAGGGCUACACACGUGCUACAAUGGCGCAUACAAAGAGAAGCGACCUCGCGAGAGCAAGCGGACCUCAUAAAGUGCGUCGUAGUCCGGAUUGGAGUCUGCAACUCGACUCCAUGAAGUCGGAAUCGCUAGUAAUCGUGGAUCAGAAUGCCACGGUGAAUACGUUCCCGGGCCUUGUACACACCGCCCGUCACACCAUGGGAGUGGGUUGCAAAAGAAGUAGGUAGCUUAACCUUCGGGAGGGCGCUUACCACUUUGUGAUUCAUGACUGGGGUGAAAACGGAACAAGGUAACCAAGGGCGAAUUCCACA